rnacentral:misc_RNA from 1 species
GUGAAUCAUCGAAUCUUUGAACGCACCUUGCGCUCCUUGGUAUUCCGAGGAGCAUGCCUGUUUGAGUGUCAUUAAAUUCUCAACCCUAUAAGAUUUUUCUUUAUAGUGGCUUGGAUGUGGGGGUUUUCUUGCUGGCUUUUAUUAGUCUGCUCCCCUGAAAUGCAUUAGCUGGUGUCUCUUGCCAGUCUAUAUUGGUGUGAUAAUUAUCUACGCCAUUGGACUUGUAAAAGCACUGCUUCUAACUGUCCUGUUAUUUGGGACAAACUACUACAAUGACAAUUUGACCUCAAAUCAGGUAGG